CACCACUAUGUUCGUCUGCACAUCAGGGCCUACCGGCUCCCUAGGCCCGAAGGGGCGGAGAUACUGGGGGGGGGGCUGUUACCUAGGCAACAGGCUCCGUACCCCCGCCUUUCCUUUCGCCUCCUCUUCCUUGUCAGCCUCAUCUCCUGUGGGAUUUGCAUCUUACUCUUUUAGCGCCGGAAGUUCUGGACGCCUGGCUCCCGAGUAGUGACCACAGAGACCCAAAUCCUCCGGAUUCUAGAGCGUCGCUGACCCGGGCCCCAGCCCGUGGUCUGGAUGCGCACGGCAUAGGGACCGCGACAGAGCUAGCACCCUGUCGUUCAUUUCCCUGCCAUCCCGCUACGGUCAACUGGAGAAGGCAAAAGUGAGCGCUGUUAACGAGAGCUGCAAAGGUUCUCGGUAGGCAGCUCCGGUGGGGCCCACUCCAAAGAGGUCUGGGUUUUCCAGUGAGACAAGAAAAGUGUGGAGGGGAAAACUGGGAUGAAACUCAGUAAAGUCUGAGUGCCCGCUUGACUAUUACGGAGUUCUCAACUAAAAGCUGAAGGUUGGGUUCCGACCAGAAAUGAAUUUUGAUGUGAGCUCUCAGCUGCUGCUCCCAGUGCCAUACGCACCUGCCUGCCACCAUACUACCCACCAGGAUGGUCACGGACUCUUUAACUCUGCAACCAUGACCUACAAAUUAAAUGCUUUCUUUUAUAAUUUG